rnacentral:rRNA from 1 species
GAAGCUGCGGCAGCGACGCUGAUGCGUUGUUGGGUAGGGGAGCGUUCUGUAAGCCUGCGAAGGUGUGCUGUGAGGCAUGCUGGAGGUAUCAGAAGUGCGAAUGCUGACAUAAGUAACGAUAAAGCGGGUGAAAAGCCCGCUCGCCGGAAGACCAAGGGUUCCUGUCCAACGUUAAUCGGGGCAGGGUGAGUCGACCCCUAAGGCGAGGCCGAAAGGCGUAGUCGAUGGGAAACAGGUUAAUAUUCCUGUGCUUGGUGUUACUGCGAAGGGGGGACGGAGAAGGCUAUGUUGGCCGGGCGACGGUUGUCCCGGUUUAAGCGUGUAGGCUGGUUUUCCAGGCAAAUCCGGAAAAUCAAGGCUGAGGCGUGAUGACGAGGCACUACGGUGCUGAAGCAACAAAUGCCCUGCUUCCAGGAAAAGCCUCUAAGCAUCAGGUAACAUCAAAUCGUACCCCAAACCGACACAGGUGGUCAGGUAGAGAAUACCAAGGCGCUUGAGAGAACUCGGGUGAAGGAACUAGGCAAAAUGGUGCCGUAACUUCGGGAGAAGGCACGCUGAUAUGUAGGUGAAGUCCCUCGCGGAUGGAGCUGAAAUCAGUCGAAGAUACCAGCUGGCUGCAACUGUUUAUUAAAAACACAGCACUGUGCAAACACGAAAGUGGACGUAUACGGUGUGACGCCUGCCCGGUGCCGGAAGGUUAAUUGAUGGGGUCAGCGCAAGCGAAGCUCUUGAUCGAAGCCCCGGUAAACGGCGGCCGUAACUAUAACGGUCCUAAGGUAGCGAAAUUCCUUGUCGGGUAAGUUCCGACCUGCACGAAUGGCGUAAUGAUGGCCAGGCUGUCUCCACCCGAGACUCAGUGAAAUUGAACUCGCUGUGAAGAUGCAGUGUACCCGCGGCAAGACGGAAAGACCCCGUGAACCUUUACUAUAGCUUGACACUGAACAUUGAGCCUUGAUGUGUAGGAUAGGUGGGAGGCUUUGAAGUGUGGACGCCAGUCUGCAUGGAGCCGACCUUGAAAUACCACCCUUUAAUGUUU